CCUGGUGGCCAUCGCGGGGUUGCUACACCCGUUCCCAUCCCGAACACGGCCGUGAAACACCCCAGCGCCCAUGGUACUGCGUCUUAAGGCGCGGGAGAGUCGGUCGCCGCCAGGC
rnacentral:rRNA from 1 species